rnacentral:rRNA from 1 species
CCCUUAGAUGUUCUGGGCGGCCCGCGCACUACAUUGGCACUAGCAAAGAGAUCCUAGAUUGAAUUCUUUGGGGUAUUCUUCUAAAUGGUGUCGUGACUGGGAUAAAUCCUUGUAAUUAUUGGUUUUGAACGAGGAAUUCCUUGUAAUCGCGGUUUAUCAGCUCGCGUUGAAUGCGUCCCUGCCCUUUGUACACACCGCCCGUCGCUCCUACCGAUGGAUCGUCCGGUGAAGCUCACGGAGUGACUGUUCACGCAACGGUUUACGAAGUGAAAUGGACCUCACGAUUUAGAGGAAGGAGAAGUCGUAACAA